rnacentral:rRNA from 1 species
UACGUAGGUGGCAAGCGUUGUUCGGAUUCACUGGGCGUAAAGGGUCCGUAGGCGGCCGUGUGUGUCGGGUGUGAAAUCCCUGGGCUCAACCUAGGAAUUGCGCUUGUGACUGGCGGGCUCGAGUACGGUAGAGGGGGGUGGAAUUCCUGGUGUAGCAGUGAAAUGCGUAGAGAUCAGGAGGAACACCGAUGGCGAAGGCAGCCCCCUGGGCCUGUACUGACGCUCAUGCACGAAAGCGUGGGGAGCAAACAGG